UCGAGAAUAUUUCGCAAUGGACGAAAGUCUGACUAUGCGACGCCGCGUGCAGGAUGAAGGUUUUCGGAUUGUAAACUGCUUUUGUUAGGGGAGAAACCUGUAUCAUUAAUAGUGAUACAGCUGACGGUACCUGACGAAUAAGCCACGGCAAACCCUGUGCCAGCAGCCGCGGUAAUACAGGGGUGGCAAGCGUUACUCGGAAUUAUUGGGUGUAAAGGGCAGGUAGGUGGCUUAGCAAGUGAGAGGUGAAAUCCCACGGUUCAAUCGUGGAACUGCCUUUCAAACUGCUGAGCUUGAGAAUGUUAGGGGAGAAUGGAAUUCCCGGUGUAAGGGUGAAAUCUGUAGAUAUCGGGAAGAACACCAACAGCGAAGGCAAUUCUCUGGGACAUUUCUGACACUAAACUGCGAAAGCUAGGGGAGCAAACA
rnacentral:rRNA from 1 species